GCCUGGGUGGCGGAACUGGCAUACGCAGGGGACUUAAAAUCCCCAGCCCGAAAGGGAUUGUGGGUUCGACUCCCACCUCAGGCACCA
rnacentral:tRNA from 1 species